UCAAGUUAUUAAGGGUGCAGGGCGGAUGCCUUGGCACUAGGAGCCGAUGAAGGACGUGAUAAGCUGCGAUAAGCUUCGGGGAGUUGCACGUAAACUUUGAUCCGAAGAUUUCCGAAUGAGGAAACUCACUUAGAGUAAUGUCUAAGUAUCAUUAAGUGAAUACAUAGCUUAAUGAGGGGAACUCAGGGAACUGAAACAUCUAAGUACCUGAAGGAAGAGAAAGAAAUUCGAUUCCGUAAGUAGCGGCGAGCGAACGCGGAUUAGCCCAAACCAAUAAAGUUUUCUUUGUUGGGGUUGCGGACAUAUCAUAACGAAGAGGUAUCGUAAUUGAAGAGGUUUGGAAAGACCCACCACAGAAGGUAAUAGUCCUGUAUGUUAAACGAGAAGACUUUAGAUAUGAUCCAGAGUACCACGGGACACGUGAAACCCUGUGGGAAGCAGGAGGGACCACCCUCCAAGGCUAAAUACUACCUAGUGACCGAUAGCGUAUAGUACCGUGAGGGAAAGGUGAAAAGAACCCCGGGAGGGGAGUGAAAUAGAACCUGAAACCCUGCACUUACAAGCUGUGGAAGCACAUUUCUUGUGUGACCGCGUACUUUUUGUAGAACGGGCCAACGAGUUACGUUAAGUAGCAAGGUUAAGCACUUAAGGUGCGGAGCCGUAGCGAAAGCGAGUUUUAACUGAGCGUUCAGUUACUUGACGUAGACCCGAAACCGGGCGACCUACCCAUGAGCAGGAUGAAGCGAAAGUAAAAUUUCGUGGAGGUCCGAACCCACGAGCGUUGAAAAGCUCGGGGAUGACUUGUGGGUAGCGGUGAAAUUCCAAUCGAGCCCGGAGAUAGCUGGUUCUCCCCGAAAUAGCUUUAGGGCUAGCCUCAAGGUGAGAGAUACGGAGGUAGAGCACUGAAUGUCCUAGGGGGUAUUGCACCUACCGAAGACUAUCAAACUCCGAAUGCCGUCAUCUUAUACUUGGGAGUCAGACUGUGGGUGAUAAGAUUCAUAGUCGAAAGGGCAACAGCCCAGAUCGUCAGCUAAGGUCCCUAAAUGUAAGUUAAGUGGUAAAGGAUGUGGGAUUGCACAGACAACCAGGAUGUUGGCUUAGAAGCAGCCACUCAUUCAAAGAGUGCGUAAUAGCUCACUGGUCGAGUGAUCCUGCGCCGAAGAUUUCCGGGGCUAAAACUUACUACCGAAGCUACGGCAUCAGUAAUGAUGGGUAGGGGAGCUUCCCAUACGGGUUGAAGCAUGACCGUAAGGACAUGUGGACAGUAUGGGAGUGAGAAUGUUGGCAUGAGUAGCGAGAUGUGGGUGAGAAUCCCACAGGCCGUAAACCCAAGGUUUCCAGGGGAAGGUUCGUCCGCCCUGGGUUAGUCGGGACCUAAGCUGAGGCCGAAAGGCGUAGGUGAUGGACAACAGGUUGAUAUUCCUGUACUACCGAUAACCGUUUGAGAGAAGGGAUGACACAGUAGGAUAAGCUAAGCACACUGUUGGUUAUGUGUGCCCAAGCAUUGAGGCAGUCAAAGUAGGCAAAUCCGCUUUGAUAAUGCUGGGAUGUGAUGGGGAGCGAAAUUUAGUAGCGAAGUAGCUGAUUUCACACUGUCAAGAAAAGUCUCUAUCGAGGUUAAAGGUACCCGUACCGCAAACCGACACAGGUGGGUGAGGAGAGUAUCCUAAGGCCAGCGAGAGAACUGUUGUUAAGGAACUCGGCAAAAUGACCCCGUAACUUAGGGAUAAGGGGUGCCACCAUCAGGUGGCCGCAGAGAAUAGGCCCAAGCGACUGUUUACCAAAAACAUAGGUUUCUGCUAAGUCGCAAGACGAUGUAUAGGAGCUGACGCCUGCCCGGUGCUGGAAGGUUAAGGGGAUCUGUUAGAGCAAUCGAAGCAGUGAACUUAAGCCCCAGUAAACGGCGGCCGUAACUAUAACGGUCCUAAGGUAGCGAAAUUCCUUGUCGGGUAAGUUCCGACCCGCACGAAAGGCGUAACGAUUUGGGCACUGUCUCAACAACAGACUCGGUGAAAUUGUAAUUCCGGUGAAGAUGCCGGAUACCUGCGACAGGACGGAAAGACCCCAUGGAGCUUUACUGUAGCUUGACAUUGGGUCUUGGUACUACAUGUACAGGAUAGGUGGGAGGCUUUGAAACCAGGACGCCAGUUUUGGCGGAGCCAUCCUUGGGAUACCACCCUUGUAGUACUGGGACUCUAACCAUAGGCCAUGAAUCUGGUCUUGGGACACUGUCAGGUGGGCAGUUUGACUGGGGCGGUCGCCUCCCAAAAGGUAACGGAGGCGCUCAAAGGUUCUCUCAGUACGGUCGGAAAUCGUACGUAGAGUGUAAAGGCAAAAGAGAGCUUGAUUGCAAGACAUACAGGUCGAGCAAGGAUGAAAAUCGGACUUAGUGAUCCGGUGGUUCUGCGUGGAAGGGCCAUCGCUCAACGGAUAAAAGCUACCCUGGGGAUAACAGGCUUAUCUCCCCCAAGAGUCCACAUCGACGGGGAGGUUUGGCACCUCGAUGUCGGCUCAUCACAUCCUGGGGCUGUAGUAGGUCCCAAGGGUUGGGCUGUUCGCCCAUUAAAGUGGUACGCGAGCUGGGUUCAGAACGUCGUGAGACAGUUCGGUCCCUAUCCGUCGCAGGCGUAGGAAAUUUGAGAAGACCUGUCCUUAGUACGAGAGGACCGGGAUGGACGUACCUCUGGUGUACCAGUUGUCCUGCCAAGGGCAUGGCUGGGUAGCUAUGUACGGAAUGGAUAAGCGCUGAAAGCAUCUAAGCGCGAAGCCAACUUCAAGAUAAGAUUUCCCACCGCAAGGGUAAGACCCCAGAAAGACUAUCUGGUUGAUAGGUCGAAGGUGUAAGUGCAGCAAUGUAUUUAGCUUAUCGAUACUAAUAGGUCGAGGACUUGACCAA
rnacentral:rRNA from 1 species